rnacentral:sRNA from 1 species
UUUUGAAAAUGGUGUCACCCCUGACUGAGACUAAUGACCGUGUAUGAAAAGAGACUAGAAAAGGGCUACCCUGGCCUACCCUUGUGGGUAAAGGGACCAGAGUGGUGCUGGUAGCUUAAAGAGCACCUCUGCUUUGGGCCGAGAUUUGUCCUGGGGCUAUUGCUUGUCUUGCAUAGGAAGGUUCCUGAUUGUCCUGACUCAGAGGUUAAGCAAGAUGGCCGGCAUAGCCCACCCAGCAUUCCCUGGAGCUGUGGGUGGGUCUGACCACACCCACUGCUUUAGCUUUUGUUUGUUUACUAUUUCCCUGUUUCCCUGAGUCCUUGGGUCUGCCUUCCCUGAUAGCUGUUGGGCUGGUGUGUGUGUGUGUGUGUGUGUGUGUGUGUGUGUGUGUGUGUGUGUGUGUGUGUCUGACUCCAAACUUGCUUAAGGUCAUCCCCAGGACUUGCCUUUCCAUCCCAAGAUGCACCAUUCCCUGCCAGGUGACAGAGUCCCCAAGAAUCAGGUCUCUCCAUGCUUUCUUUGUCUAUACAUUCCAGAGAGUCCAGCCAAAAAUUAAGUUUUGACCUAUACUUUGCAAAAAAUACCCUCCUUAAAAGUUCCCAACUGCAGAAAUAAGAAGACAGACAAGGCACAUUAGGAAGUCUGCAGAAACAGAAGAGAAACAAGAGAAGAAACCAGUAUUGACUUAUGUUCAGCAAGCGUUGGUAGGAAGCUUACUGUGCUCAGUACUGCGCUGGGCCCUGGGCUCAGAGGUACUGCAGGCUCAAUCCCAGGUCACUGGACAGAGUACAGAGAAACUAUCACAGGCUAAUGUCACUGCUAGGGAUAGCCUGGGUGUGCUUGGUUGUCUAGGAGUCUAAUAUCGUUUUGAUAGCAGAGACUCCUGCCUCCUGGGAGACCUUGGCUGGCUCACUCCCUGCUCAGGAAUGUGAGUACGUGGCCAAUUCUGUUUGCUGGGAAGGAAAGCAGGAAACCAUAACCAACCAGUGAUCAGUUUUUGCAACAUCCAUGGUUCUGGGCAGCAUUUCUGGGAUCUGAAAGAGGAUGUGAAUAUCUUUGUGAGUGGCUUGUGGCAGCUGAGGUAUGGCCAUCACUGUGGGCCUUGGCUCCAUUGACUGCCAAAAUGACUUUCCCCAGGGACUAAGGUCACCUUCUUUAGUUGAAUGAUUGUUUAGAAUCUGCCACAGGAAACCUAGCUAUUCAGUGUAUAUCAGACAACUAUUUCAAUGAGGCAGGUGGGGUAAAGAGCUUAGCUUUGAGGCAGGUUCACCAUUGGACGGAGGAAUUUCAGUCGUAAACGCUGUCCCUCAAACCCUAUAGCAUUUAGUUAACAGACUGGGACUCUCAGCAGACUACAGCAGCGAGCUCCCCACUGAGGCUGCGCCUUUCUGGUGCUGAGCCCAGCGCCUCCCGUUUGCUGGGCAAGCAAGCACCUAUUGUGUAGGUGUGUUACCCUUUUUAUUUGGGGGUAGGACCUUGCUGAAUUGCUCCAGCUGGAUUUGAACUUGUGUUCUUCCAGCCUCAGCUUCCAGAAUAGCUGGGACUACCGGCUUGCACCAACACACUUAGCUUUGUGAUCUUUUUGGUGUGAUGGGCCUCUUUGACUGUCUUUUGAAGCCUGUAACCUUCUAAAUUCAUGAAACAUAAUAUACAAGGUGACGGGAUAAGAAUUAUACUGAAAUAGUUAUGGAAAUAUCCCUAAGACAAAUUUGUCUUUUAUACUAAUACUUUGCUUCGUUAUUAGCACAGAAACAAUAAGCUAUAUUGGCAGGCCUGACAGCCAUCAUAAUUUCUAGGGAGCUGUGAAUGCAAAUGAUGUUUCAAUGUCUGCAACUGCUAUUAAGUCAUGUAUGAAGAAAACCUGUUAUUUCUGUUGACCAAUACCAAGUCCCGGGUAUUGGCCAUACUAUACCACCUUGUUGCUUAUUUUCACCAAGGCAGGAGAUGCAAUGUCUCAGCUCAGUGAAGGUUAAUGAAAAUAAAAGAAGGAACAAAUUGUCCUAUCCACAUGCACAGGCUCCCUAAAUUCUCUGUGGAUCGUAAGUUAAGAAUCACUGCUCAAGAGUUAUAAGCUUGCUUGUGCACCCCUUCUCUCCUCCUCCCUCUCCCCCUCUCCCUCUCCCCUCAUCCUUACAGCCCCCUCCAUAUAUUUAUCUGUGGUUUUAAACAGUCUUACUGGCCCGAAACCCACAGGCUUAUCUUGAGCUCACAGAGAUCUGCCUGCCUCUGCCUCCCAAAUGCUGGGCUUGCAGACGUGCCCCACCAUACCCAACUGAGGGAAUGGUCUUUUGCUUUUAAUCAAUCUCUGUACUGGUCACAGGCGACUGCUCAUGCUCUCCGACCACGGUGGCAUUGUAAAUGCCGCAGAGCCACUUCAUAGCAAAGCUGUGUCAGCCGUAUGGUAGGUCCUCCUCCCGUGGUGAUACAAGCCGCAGUAUCUUAACAUGAAGACUUAGCCGUAUUCUACCAGAGAAAGCGUGGACUGCCCCAGGCUUUGCUUACAUCUUACAUUCCGAAUCCUUAGAAGUGGAUCCUCCCGCAGCUUCUCUAUCCCACCUCCCACGGUCAGACCCAUGACUCUAGAAUAAAUUGUUAUUCUCCAUCUAUGUGACCCAUGGUUAGGGAUAGGACAGAUAUUUAGCCACGUUCACUGAGAAGAUGGCAGAGACAUUGUUGCUGAUGUUUCUGGACCCUAGGAACACAUUUCUUGAUCCAUAGAGAGGAGAGAAGAACAAACUACCUUCAAACCCUUUGUCCUCAUACUAUGCCCACCUCAUUUUCUGUCAUGUGCUGGCUAGAUAUUGAACUUGGCUUAAAACGAUUGUUUGAAAUGAAUGUCAAGAUUUGGAAAUAUUCAUGUGGACCUCUUCCAGAGGUCGUAGACUCUUGCGAUGCGUUUUCUGAACUGGGCAACAGUCUUUGUCCCUGAGCUUCCUGGAAAGAGCUGGGGCUGCUGAAUGGAUUUUGCCGGAAGAUAGGGACUGUGUCUCACUUGACGCUACAGGGAGAAGUCGGCUGUCUGUCAUUUAGUGACAGUUCCCAGAGCAUCAUUGUAACUUGAAAUUUUCCACUCUGAUUACACAUGUUCCACAUCUUUUUUUUUUUUU